rnacentral:rRNA from 1 species
GACGAACGCUGGCGGCGUGCUUAACACAUGCAAGUCGAACGGAAAGGCCCUGCUUUUGUGGGGUGCUCGAGUGGCGAAGGGGUGAGGAACACGUGAGUAACCUGCCCUUGACUUUGGGAGAACUUCAGGAAACUGGGGCUAAUACCGGAUAGGAGCUCCUGCUGCAUGGUGGGGGUGGGAAAGUUUCGGCGGGUGGGGAUGGACUCGCGGCUGAUCAGCUUGUUGGUGGGGGAGUGGCUUACCAAGGCUUUGACGGGUAGCCGGCCUGAGAGGGUGACCGGCCACAUUGGGACUGAGAUACGGCCCAGACUCCUACGGGAGGCAGCAGUGGGGAAUCUUGCCCAAUGGGCGGAAGCCUGAUGCAGCAACGCCGCGUGCGGGAUGACGGCCUUCGGGUUGUAAACCGCUUUCGCCUGUGACGAAGCGUGAGUGACGGUAAUGGGUAAAGAAGCACCGGCUAACUACGUG